UCGAUAACGCAGGAGUAAGCGGAGCUGAAAGGCGUCUACCGUGGCUCAGCGCUCUCGCAGCUCUGCGACAAGCAGAGGCCCGGCGCUCUGGGCACCGGAGCCAGCCUGCCGAGGACGCCCCUGCAGACCCAUCCGGGUUGAGACUGUGGGUGUUUGGAUUCACUGAGAAGGAUGUCAGCUGUGGAACCGUCAUGGAAACUGCAUGGAAGCUCCUCAGAGACCCAAACUGGAACCAACCCAGUGACUCAGCAGCUCCACUGGUUGGAAAUGAAGUCAGCGAGCUUAAAGGAUAUAUGUCUUGACAGGACAUCCCAGCAAAGAUAUGGAAGCAACUGGAUGUCCAUAAAGGAAACAGAUGGAUAAAAAUUGCAAUAGAAGAGCAACAGAUACAGAAGUGCACUCUCAAGCCAGCUGAGUUCACAACAACAAUCACAGAAUGGUGGUGGAGACAGAGGUUAAAGGUCACUGCAACUCUACUACAUGCCAGGGAGUCAGGAGUAAUGUUACAUGCUUAAAACUGGCUUGGAGAGUCAAUCUCAAGCCAUCUCAAGACAAGACUAGG